CGAAAGCCUGACGCAGCGACGCCGCGUGGAGGAUGAAGGUCUUCGGAUUGUAAACUCCUGUCAGAGGUGAAGAAAGCCCUUAUGGGUCUGACGGUAACCUCAGAGGAAGCCCCGGCUAACUACGUGCCAGCAGCCGCGGUAAUACGUAGGGGGCAAACGUUGCUCGGAAUUACUGGGCGUAGAGGGUGCGCAGGUGGCUGAGAAAGUCGUUGAUGAAAUCCCGGGGCUUACCCCCGGAACUGUCUUCGAUACUUCUCAGCUUGAGGAUAGUCGAGGAGAACGGAAUUCCCGGUGGGGCGGUGAAAUGCGUAGAGAUUGGGAAGAACACCGGUGGCGAAAGCGCUCUACUGGGUCGCACCUGACCCUCAGGGACGAAAGCUAAGGUAGCG
rnacentral:rRNA from 1 species